GUGUGUGUGUGUGUGUGUCUGGCUAGCUCACUGGCUCUCUGUUUGUCUGUGUCUGUGUGUAUACAGUGCAUGUGCCAUGUAUGCAUUUGUAGAGGGGUGAAGCUGACACCAGUGUCUUCCUCCACCCGAACCUGGAGCUCACUGAUUAGCUAGACUGCCUGGUCAGAGUGCGCCUUUCCUUCCCCUGGGACUCCCCUGUCUGUGUCUCCUAACACUGGAGUCACACGCAUGUGCUGCCAUACCCUGAUUUUUACUUGGGUGCUGGGGUUCGAAACUCAACUCCUUCAUGAUUCUCCCCAUAGAGAUGGCCUCUGCAGAGUCUGGGACACCUGAAAGCAAGUUAUAGAGAGAGAAGGGCUUUCCUCUCUCCUCCUGAACAUGAUUCCUGAACACAGAAGCAGAGGCAACCACAGAGAAAGCUAUGACCCGCUUCUCCAAUAGAGAACCCCAAGUCUGCAUACCUUCCGCACUGUCCUGGGAAAGGUCCCUCACCAGGUCUGCAAGCUCCCGGACAUUCUGAAGAUGGUGGGUUCCUGAAACCGCACCUUCAGCUCAAACUUUCCGAGGAGUCGGGGGAUGAUUUCAGGGUGUGCUCAGUUCCAUCUUGGCUGACACUGUUUUCCUUCCUUGAAAGAAGUCUCUAAAGCCCUGAAUUUUCAGAAUAGUAGGACAUUGAAAUACAAGAGUCAGACACAGAAAUGAUACAGAAAGAAGGGUCUCUUUCUGAACCUAGAGCAGAGGAGGGAAGGGUAGCAACUCUUAGCGAGUUUUUGGGGUGCUUUUCAGGGCUGGUGAAAUAUGUCCUACAACAGUGGCUGUGUCUGCAUCGUUGUAACUUUAU